rnacentral:rRNA from 1 species
AUGGCCAAGGAGUACCCGGGGAGUGGUGGUCCGGCGGGGGUGAUGCCGUUCGUGGCCAAGACUUACGGGAUGGUGGAGGACCCGGCGACUGACGACGUGAUCGCAUGGGGAAGAGGCGGCAACGGCUUCGUCGUGGCCGACCGCUUGGUCUUCUCGGGCACGCUGCUUCCCGCGCACUUCAAGCACUGCAAAUUCUCUAACUUCGUUCCGCAGCUCAAUACCUACGGAUUCCGGAAGGUGGAUCAGAAUAGAUGGGAGUACGCCCACGUGUUGUUCCUGCGGGGGCAUGCGCACCUCCUGCACCAGAGGUGUUGUGCCCUCUCCUAG